CCGAUUCGACAUCUGUUGAGCUUCAUUGAACAGGCAGGGCAUCUCCACUUCGUCCAUCUUAGCAUGGUCCUCUUCGGUUACAAAACAUCAAAGGUAGAUAGCCAACCCUAUAGGAACAGAAAGGACAUGAGCAUCCUCUAGGACCAAGAUAAUAAUCAAUUGGCUCACACCGGGGAUCAACACUUAGAGCUGGAAAUCAAUUGGUCAGUUUAAGGCUCGAGGAAGCUUCACUCGAGCUCUUUUUUGGUAUCUCCAAG
rnacentral:lncRNA from 1 species